rnacentral:rRNA from 2 species
UGAGACUUAAAGUCUCCUGAAGGAACGUUGAAGACGACGACGUUGAUAGGCCGGGUGUGUAAGCGCAGCGAUGCGUUGAGCUAACCGGUACUAAUGAACCGUGAGGCUUAACCUUACAACGCCGAAG